CACUUCUGAUAUUUUGAUUGUUUUUCUACUCUUCUUUACCUUGGAUAUCAGAUAUUACUACUCUCUUGAUAUGGUAAAUAAUGUGGGUUUCCCUUAUGUGUACACAUUAUAAGUCUAGAAAUAUAUUGUGGAGGUUUAUAUAUGAUCCAAGGGUACUGGAUUCUUUAUUGGGGAUCUACAUUUUCAUAGAAUAAUAAAAUUGUCAAAUAUAAGUUCAUUGGUCCUUUGACUAACUUCGAAGAUGGAAGGAAGGGAUUUCUUUUGAAGACAUAGACAUCUGUUUGCAAUUCUUUACUGUAAUUGUUUGUUUCUAAUAUUAGAUUAUGGAUCUCUUUUGAAGGGAUGCAUUUUCAUUCCUUCCACUAUUAUUACUAUGUAAAUUAAAGAAGACUUACUUUACACUUCCAUAUGUAAAACAAUUCUGAAUUUUCCCUUCUUUGCUGUAACUGUAAAUAACAGAUUAAUAUUUCAAUCUUUCUCAGUUGCAUUUGUUCUAAGUGUAACUAGACUGCAACUUGAAGUUUAGAAUAUUAUAUUACUAGGUUCGUCGAUUUCUACCUAACUCGUGUUUGUCUAUUAGGAUGCUUUGAUUCCUCUUUUCUCAAAUUUAUUUGCCAACAAUGAGAAGGAAUAAGUAUCAGGUAUGAUAAAUUUGUGGUGAACUGAUUCAUUUGCAGACUUACUGCAUGAUAUCAAAUACGCAAUACUGAGAUUCUUGUUCUUCUACUUUUAGGGACUAAUAUCGAGAUUUCCUCAAUCUCCUCGAGUGUUUUGGUACUAUCUCCGGAUAACUUUGAUGAGCAAGUGAUAUCUUGGUUGAAUUUCAUGCUCAUGGUAAUUUAAAAUGUCUCACUGGCAAGUCAUUCACUUGAUUCUAGAAUUGAACAGUAAUUUCUAGUUAGAUGGUCCUGUUAAAGCACCGAAGCUGUAAUUUCUUAUCCAAAAAAAGGGUUGUACUUCAUAUCGUCAUUGACAACUAACUUAGAAGAUGGAGGAAAGGGAUUUCUUUUUUCAGAUAUAGAAAUAUGUUUGCAAUUCUCUACUCUGGAUUCAGUUCAAAUUGAUCAGAAUAGGAGGGAUUCCCUAAUAUGGACAGCUAGCAAGGACAAAAAGUUCUCAGUUAAUAACUGUUAUAAAACAUUGACGAGACAGUCAGGCUGUUUGGAACUUAAUUGGUCAUGGAAGAUAAUUUGGAAGACUAAAGCUCCCAUAAAGUGGCCUGUUGGGAACACUUGAAGCAAAUCUGGUUCACUAUUCCUCUAUGGAUUUUCUGCACUCUAUGGUUGGAAAGGUAUAUUACUUGUUUUGGAAGACAAAAAAUCUAUAUCUCUAGUAUUAAGAAUAUAUGUUUGUAUAAUCCUUUUUUCUGGUGUAAUAGCAGGCAAAUUGGAAUUAUGGAUUUCAUAUAAACGUUAGGAGGAAGAGAGUAGUUGUAUCUUUGUUGUGAUACAACAUUGUCUGGAGUCCUGUACUGUUUGUACCAUCUUGGUACCUUUUAUUAAUAAUACCUUUACCAUUUCAGAAAAAGAAA